rnacentral:rRNA from 1 species
AUUGAACGCUGGCGGAAUGCUUUACACAUGCAAGUCGAACGGCAGCACGGGGCAACCUGGUGGCGAGUGGCGAACGGGGGAGUAAUACAUCGGAACGUGCCCAAUCGUGGGGGAUAACGUAGCGAAAGUUACGCUAAUACCGCAUACGAUCUACGGAUGAAAGCGGGGGAUCGCAAGACCUCGCGCGAAUGGAGCGGCCGAUGUCAGAUUAGGUAGUUGGUGGGGUAAAGGCUCACCAAGCCAACGAUCUGUAGCUGGUCUGAGAGGACGACCAGCCACACUGGGACUGAGACACGGCCCAGACUCCUACGGGAGGCAGCAGUGGGGAAUUUUGGACAAUGGGCGCAAGCCUGAUCCAGCCAUUCCGCGUGCAGGAUGAAGGCCUUCGGGUUGUAAACUGCUUUUGUACGGAACGAAACGGUUCUCUCUAAUACAGGGGGCUAAUGACGGUACCGUAAGAAUAAGCACCGGCUAACUACGUGCCAGCCGCCGCAGUAAUAC